rnacentral:rRNA from 1 species
UUGAUCCUGGCUCAGAAUCAACGCUGGCGGCGUGCCUCAGACAUGCAAGUCGAACGCGAAAGUCCCCUUCGGGGGAUAAGUAGAGUGGCGUCCGGGUGAUUAACACGUAGGUAAUCUACCUUCGGGUGGGGAAUAACCCAGGGAAACUUUGGCUAAUACCGCAUAAUGCAGCGGCACCACAUGGUGACAGUUGUUAAAGUGGGGGAUCUUCGGAUCUCGCGCCUGGAGAGGAGCCUGCGGCAGAUUAGCUAGUUGGUAAGGUAACGGCUUACCAAGGCGACGAUCUGUAGCCGGCCUGAUAGGGCGGUCGGCCACACUGACACUGACAUACGGGUCAGACUCCUACGGGUGGCAGCAGUCGGGAAUUUUGGGCAAUGGGCGAAAGCCUGACCCAGCAACUCCGCGUGAAGGAUGAAAUCCCUCGGGAUGUAAACUUCGCAAGAAUGGGAUGAAUUAGUAGGGGUUAAUACCCUCCAUGAUGACGGUACCAUUUGUAAGCUCCGGCUAACUCCGUGCCAGCAGCCGCGGUAAUAAGGGCGU